AACAACAUCCUGGUGCUGCCGAGUGGCACCUGAGACUCCAGCAUCAGUGAUUUUGUUGC
rnacentral:pre_miRNA from 1 species